AACAUAUAACUAGUUUCUUAAAGUUAUUAAGAAAUUUAAUUUCUUGAUAUUUAUAGAAACAAACUUAUUUAUUUUAGAACUUGGUGACUUGAACAUCUGUAAAACCAAUGUGCUUUGAAAUGAAUUCAUAUGUGAAUGCCUUAGAUUCAAUGUGCCUUAAAUCUUGAGUCAUUUUCAUUGGAGGCAAAGAAUACUUAACUCUAUGGCCCUAAGGACAGUGGGGGACAAGUCACUUGAGUGGCAUCUGCCACUUCAGGACAUAUAAAGGUGCAAGAAUGUUCUAGCCUUUCCACUUUCCCCUAUUCUGUGGUUACUUGAUUUAAUUUCCUUUCUCAGAAGUUCUUUUGGUAUUUAGGAGAUCGUUGAAAAAGCCAUGACCUCUUUCAUCUGAUACAUAACCAAGACUCUCAACACAGAUCCAUAGUUGGUAUAGACAAGUUUUGGUUUAUAUGGUUUUU
rnacentral:lncRNA from 1 species